CGGGGCAGAGCCUGAGGGGGCGGGGCAGAGCCUGAAGGGGCGGAGCGGCACCCGAGGGCUCCCAGAAGGUUCUGGAAAAGCCGAGUGAAGGCUCCAGUUCCGUGCUGUGCAUCUGGCCCCUGGUGCUGUGGAGCCUUGGAGGAGGCAGUGAGACAAUGCUGGAGCCCCUGCAGUGCAGUUCUCCACUGCUCCUGACCUGUGCCAGCCCUGGCUCUGCAGUGACCUGGCUGCAGCUGGAUUUACCUGGAGUAACAGAGAGCAAUGCUCACAGCACCCCCCCAGAGGUGAGACAGAAACACACUAAUCCCAUGCUGCUCAAGCUUGGAUGUGCAGCCCACAUUGUGCAUAGGGGCCAAAUGGGUUUGUUCAAAUGGAGAUUUACUAAGACCUGUGUAAAACAGGGGAGGAGAGGAACCAGAGAGGUGGGAGGCAAAGAAGAAUCCAGCCCCCAGUGGCCUUGAAAGCAAUCUGCCACUGAGUGCUGUCUCCAUGCUGAUGGAUUUGCUGUCACCUCUCCCUGGCAUGAGGUGACAGAUCUCUCCGUGGGAUGAAGCCAGAACCAAUAGCCAUCCAUCACUGUGGGACAGGCAGGAGCAGCAGGAGGCACAGGGGAAGGAAGCAAACCUGGCAAAACAUCUCCACCCUCCUUCCUUGUCAGCGCUGGGUCACGGGGAAAUAGGACUUCUGCAGGCAUGUUCUGAGGAUGGAAUCCUGGGAGUGGAUGGAAUAUUGCUGCAAGGAUGGAGGGAUUUGAACACCUGGAAAACCUCCUGUCCAGGAGACCUCUCUGUGUGAGUGAGGUUAAACACCAGCACAGGGCACAAACUGGAUGGGAGAAUGUCAGCUGGAAUUGAGGAGCUGCUUCUCUGCGGCUUUAGGGUAACACAGUUCCAGGGGGACCUUCCUGUGGUGGUGCAGUGUGAGAAAUGCAGAUUAUCUUUAAGGUGAGUCCUGGUCAGCUGGAGGCAGGUGUGCAGCUCUGUCUGUGAUGGGAGGAAUGGCAAACACUGCAGGUCCCUUCCUGCCUUGUGGGACUUCUCCCUGAUGAAAUCACUGUCACUUCCAGGUUUCCACAGUCCUGCCUGUGCUUUUCCCACUCCUUUGUCACGUGUAAUAAACAGCAGUGAGGUUUGGAGUGUGGAUUUUGCUUUUGGAGAAAAUCCAGAUACUUCUCUAUGUGGCUGAAAAUGAGAGAAUAGGCCAGAAAUGUGGAAAUAUUCCUACAUGCUGAACAAUCUCCUAAAGCCAAAAGGAGUCAGGCACUUCCUUCAUUUAAAUGUUCUUCUAAACGCUGCUAAGCAUGUUUCUCAGUCCUUUGUCAUCUGAAGAACUAGGUAAAUCUGGCCCAGAAAUCUCUAUGUGGAGUAUUUAUUUCUAAACUACUCUUACAAAGAGCUAAAAGGGGAAAAAACCCCCACAGUUGCUUGCUGAAAAGCAAAGAGCACGGGAGUGUUGCUUUAAACAGAAUUAGCAUGCACAGAGCCUGGGCUGCUGCUGGAGCUCUGCUGCUCCCAGGCCUCAGACUCUGCAUCUGGUUUUUCAUUUCCAAUAGGCUAAUGUGCUGUGACACUGCACCCCUCUGGGAAGCUGCUGACAGGCACUGUCAAUAUUUCCUUCCAAAACCCCCCCCAACCAACACAGCCCUCCAAAGUGUUGCUUUCCAGCAUGAAAUUAUGGAGCG